AACGAACGCUGGCGGCAGGCCUAACACAUGCAAGUCGAACGGGAUUAGGGGGCUUGCUCCUUAAUCUAGUGGCGCACGGGUGAGUAACGCGUAGAUAAUCUGCCUGAUGAUCUGGAAUAACACUUCGAAAGAGGUGCUAAUACCGGAUAAGCCCACGACGGCUUUGGUCGUUGCGGGAAAAGGGGGGGACCAUUUGGCCUUCUGUCAUCAGAUGAGUCUGCGUACCAUUAGCUAGUUGGUAGGGUAAAGGCCUACCAAGGCGACGAUGGUUGGCUGGUCUGGGGGGAGGAGCAGCCACACUGGAACUGAGACACGGUCCAGACUCCUACGGGAGGCAGCAGUGGGGAAUUUUGCGCAAUGGGCGAAAGCCUGACGCAGCAACGCCGCGUGAGUGAUGAAGGCUUUCGGGUCGUAAAGCUCUGUCAAGGGGAAAGAAGUGUAUUGUGGCUAAUAUCCACGAUACUUGACGGUACCCCUGAAGGAAGCACCGGCUAACUCCGUGCCAGCAGCCGCAGUAAGAC
rnacentral:rRNA from 1 species